UACGUAGGGUGCUAGCGUUGUCCGGAUUUAUUGGGCGUAAAGAGCGUGUAGGCGGCCAGGUAGGUCUGGUGUGAAAACUCGAGGCUUAACCUCGAGAUGUCAUCGGAAACCAUUUGGCUAGAGUCCGGAAGAGGAGAGUGGAAUUCCUGGUGUAGCGGUGAAAUGCGCAGAUAUCAGGAAGAACACCAAUGGCGAAAGCAGCUCUCUGGGACGGUACUGACGCUGAGACGCGAAAGCGUGGGGAGCGAACAGG
rnacentral:rRNA from 1 species